rnacentral:tRNA from 1 species
AUUCUUGUAGUUGAAUAAACAACGAUAGUUUUUCAAGUUAUCGGUCUUGGUUAGAGUCCAAGUAGGAGUA